GGUGAACGCUGGCGGUAGGCCUAACACAUGCAAGUCGAGCGGACACACAGUAAGCGCUUGCUCCUAAGGGUGGCGAGUGGCGGACGGGUAAGAAAUACAUAGGCUACUACUAUUUCGUGGGGGACAUCGGAGGGCCACUGAUGCUAAUACCGAAUAUGUUCUACGGGAGAAAGCAGGAGUUCAUCGCAGUUUGCGUGAUAGUAAGAGACGGUGCCGGAUUAGCUAGGUGGCGGGGUAAGGGCACACCAAGGCAACGAUCCGUAGCGGGCCUGAGAGGAUGAUCAGCCACACUGGAACUGAGACACGGUCCAGACUCCUACGGGAGGCAGCAGUGGGGAAUAUUGCACAAUGGGCGCAAGCCUGAUCCAGCCAUACCGCGUGAGUGAAGAAGGUCUUCGGGUUGUAAAGCCCUGUUAUUGGGAAAGAAAAGCAGCAUGUGUAUACCCCGCUGUCCUGACGGUACCCAAAGAAUAAGCACCGGCUAACUUCGUG
rnacentral:rRNA from 1 species